AAGUCUAUAACGACUCUCGGCAACGGAUAUCUCGGCUCUCGCAUCGAUGAAGAACGUAGCGAAAUGCGAUACUUGGUGUGAAUUGCAGAAUCCCGUGAACCAUCGAGUCUUUGAACGCAAGUUGCGCCCUAAGCCUUUGGCCGAGGGCACGUCUGCCUGGGUGUCACAA
rnacentral:rRNA from 1 species